rnacentral:rRNA from 1 species
UAUGUGAUCGUCUCUCGCAUAUCAAUAAGCGGAGGAAAAGAAACUAACAAGGAUUCCCCUAGUAACGGCGAGUGAAGCGGGAAGAGCUCAAAUUUGAAAUCUUAAAGGGUUUCCCUUUACGAAUUGUAGUUUAAAGAAGUGUUUUCUGUUGAGGUUUUGGUAAAAGUUCUUUGGAAUAGGACAUCAUAGAGGGUGAGAAUCCCGUAUUUGACCUUUACUUUCAACUUUGUGAUACACUUUCAAAGAGUCAGGAUUGUUUGGGAAUGCAGUCCAAAAUGGGUGGUAAAUUUCAUCUAAAGCUAAAUAUUGGCGAGAGACCGAUAGCGAACAAGUACCGUGAGGGAAAGAUGAAAAGAACUUUGAAAAGAGAGUUAAACAGUACGUGAAAUUGUCAAAAGGGAAGCGUUUGACACCAGUGUUGUUUUUCUGAAAAUCAAUUAAAGAACUGUUUAUGCUAAGCUUGUUUAGACUUUAUCAGCUAACUGUUUAGUUUUGAGCUUUUCUUUAAUGCACUUUUCAGUUAACAAGUCAACAUCAAUUUCUUUUGCUGUAAAAAAGCUUGAGGAAGGUGGCUUGAGAUUCGUCUUAAGUGUUUAUAGCCUCUUGCCUAUGCAGUCGGAGAGAUUGAGGUCUGCAGCGUAGAUCCUUCGGGGCUAAAUGCAUUUGUGCUAAGUUAUAGCAUUUUAUAGACAACUUGUUGACUAUGAUUUGUCUUGGAGCUUACUCGCUUAUGUUAUUUUACCUACGCUUAGGAUGUUGAGUAGCGACAUACGCAC